GACGAACGCUGGCGGCGUGCUUAACACAUGCAAGUCGAACGGUAAGGCUCCAGCUUGCUGGGGUACACGAGUGGCGAACGGGUGAGUAACACGGGGGUGACCUGCCCUGCACUUCGGGAUAAGCCUGGGAAACUGGGUCUAAUACCGGAUAGGACCAUGGUGUGGAUACUGUGGUGGAAAGUUUUUUCGGUGUGGGAUGGGCCCGCGGCCUAUCAGCUUGUUGGUGGGGUAAUGGCCUACCAAGGCGGCGACGGGUAGCCGGCCUGAGAGGGUGGACGGCCACAUUGGGACUGAGACACGGCCCAGACUCCUACGGGAGGCAGCAGUGGGGAAUAUUGCACAAUGGGCGGAAGCCUGAUGCAGCGACGCCGCGUGGGGGAUGACGGCCUUCGUGUUGUAAACUCCUUUCACCAUCGACGAAGGGUUUCUGACGGUAGAUGGAGAAGAAGCACCGGCUAACUACGUG
rnacentral:rRNA from 1 species